AAAAAAUCUCUCACAGACUCGCAAAAACCACCCACAUAUACGCACACAUACGGGAAAGGAACCCAAAGCCCUAUUUUCUCUCUGCGCCAUAGUUCUUUCGUCUCUCCAUCAAAAUCCAAACCCUAAUUCAUAAACACAACAAACUCUCAUAUACGGACUCAUAUAUAUACAAUUUCAAUCCUAUACUUUCCAUUUCUCUGUUCAAUUUCACCACAGAUUCAAACCCUACAGCCAUGUCGAGCCUCCCUGAGGAGGUUCUCGCCGACAUACUCUCCCGAUUGCCGGUGAAGCAACUUCUUCGAUUCAGGUCUGUAUCCUCUCUUUGGCGUGCCUUAAUCGACAGUUCUGAUUUCGUAAAGUUACAUCUGAAUCGAUCGAUCGAAACCAAGAGCAAUCUGAGCCUUAUUCUUCGAGACAAUCACCGACUCUAUUCGAUCGAAUUUGAUUCUCUCUCCUCCGCCGUGACUGCCGUGCAGCUCGAUCACCACCCGCUUCGAUGUCAGGACUACGGAACUGAGGUAUGGGGUUCUUGUAAUGGGUUGCUCUGUUUGGCCAAUGCUUUGGACACUCUUGUUUUGUGGAACCCAUCGAAUCGAAAUUCCCGAAGAUUGCCUCACGCGGCUGUGGAGUUUCAGAACCUGUCUAAGUAUUACGAGAAUCGAAUUUACGGAUUUGGGUAUGAUAGUGGUAGUGAUGAUUACAAGGUGGUUAGGAUUGUGGCGAUCAAAGGGGUGAAUGAUGAUUACUUUGAUUAUGAAGUUAAAGUUUAUAGCUUGAAAUCGAAUUCGUGGCAUAGGGCUAAGAAGUUCCCUCAUUUCCCUAAUUUGAAAAAAUCGGGUGGUGCACUUGCCGGUGGUGCUUUGCAUUGGGUUGUGACUGAAGAACUCGAGGUCUAUACCGCUGGAUUGAUUGUUUCUUUUGAUCUCUGCCGUGAGGAAUAUGGGUUUGUGCCACAACCCGAUUACUCAGAUAUGAAUUUCUUUAUGUCUGUUCAGGAAUUGGAGGGUUGUCUUUCAGUGCUUUGUUACUAUUACUUAGCUGGUGUUCAUUUAUGGGUGAUGAAAGAUUAUGGAGUGAAGGAAUCUUGGACUAAGUUGGUUACAGUUGCGGAACCGGGUGUGGUUAGGCCUCCUCCGUAUAUGCGGCCUCUUGUUUAUUCAAAGAAUGGUGGGGAACGACUAUUGGAACAAGACAUGGAAGGGCUUCUUUGGUAUGACCUAAAACGCAAGAGGGUGGUCAAGAAUGUUGUGAUUCAUGGCAUAGAAGAAUUGGUGCAAGUGGAGAUGUGCGUGGGAAGCCUUGUUCCUAUCAAUAGUGGUGUUGGUGAAAGUGAAUCGAAAAAACGAGAAGAUCGAGAUGAGAAGAAAAUGGAUAAUUUCCUGUCUAAGGGGUUCAAACUGGUGCUGUAAGCUCUACUGGAAGAAGAAAUAGGAGAGGAGCUAUGUUGGAGAGGUGCUUGUGGACUCUAUACCCUAAAAAAAAAUGCUAUUUUUUGUAAAAUUCAUUUUUUUCGAUCUGUGGUUUUAUGUGUGCUUGUCCGCCCACCUGCCCAAUAGAAAUAUUGCAGUAGGCACUGAAUCUGAAAGAGCAACCAUUAUUAGUUUUGAUGGGUUCUCUUAUUUAUGAAAUGUCUACAUUCAAGGUUGCAGUCUUAGUUGUGAUAGGCAGAUUCAUCCAUCAGUUGGGGAUAUUUCAUGUGCAUUGAAAAUAUUGAGGAACUGAUACUUUGUAGCUAAAAUGAUGAUUACAAAGCAUUGUGACAAUUGGUUAGAUGUGCUAACGCCUUGCACUCAUGCCUAUGAAUGGGUGCUCUUGGGCAUGGUCGGAGUAUUUUAGCGGGUUUGGAAUCUCUUGAUUAAGCGAGGCAAGUUGUAGGAAGAAAAAUAUUAGGGCGAACCCAUGGAUUCUCGGAUUAUUAGACUUCCAAUUAUGAGAGUAGCUGAUUUAUGAAUUUAAACAAUGGUGUCUUCAUAAAAUUCUGACUUAUUUGCCGGUGACUUUCAACCCAAAAUCUUAUGAGUUCAAUUGUGGAAGCUGGCAAUUUGCAAUGACAAGCAAGUAAUCAGCACUAUCAAGCAAAAGAUCAGCAUUGUUGUAUCAUGGCAUGGUCUACAUUGCUUGUAUCUGAAAUCUGAGGAAAUUUAUGCAUCAAACAACUUGUUAAGAAGACGUUCCUGCAAAUCUUUUGUUCAUUUUUCCUUGAGAGGAGACUGCUGAACUUUUGCCUGUUUGGCCGAUGAUCCAUUUUAUAUUCCUUAUCGCUCAUACAUGAGGUUUAUGGACACCGAAAUAACAUCUGUUUUUAACAAAAGCUAGUGAAUGUGUGGAACAGCAGAAGGCUAUUUUCCAGCUUGAUUUUUUGACACAGAUUUUUUAUGAUUUUCAUCAUACAUGUGAUGCUCAAGGCUGGUUGGUGGCUCUGGUUUUAUGGGAAGCUCGACAAGUUUCAGUUAGAUAUGGGACCUAUGUUUGUGGAUGUUUUGGUGUAUGAUUGUUCAAGUGCCUAGACAUGAAGUAGCUGAAGCACAUGGUAUACUGAAAAGCAGACCCUAAAUACAAGCAUUAUGUCAUGUGUAAUUAUUAUGUUGCUGUAAUUUUCUUGUUUUUAUUAGUGGAAAAAAGGAAACCAAAUAGUAGCUUUCUUUUGUUUCUUGUGGUACGCAUUUAUUUGCAUGAUUGUGGAAUGAGCUGCCAACUAUGGUGUGGUUGUGCUUGUAAGUGUUGUCUCCUUGGUGGUUUGCUUUCAAUCCAAGAACAUUGUAUUCAUUUCCAAUGGCAUUAGGUGCAAAUGAAACAGCCAUCCUCACAAAAAUUGCAUUA